AGUGAACGCUGGCGGUAGGCCUAACACAUGCAAGUCGAACGGCAGCACAGUAAGAGCUUGCUCUUACGGGUGGCGAGUGGCGGACGGGUGAGGAAUACAUCGGAAUCUACUUUUUCGUGGGGGAUAACGUAGGGAAACUUACGCUAAUACCGCAUACGACCUACGGGUGAAAGCAGGGGAUCUUCGGACCUUUCGCUAUUGAAUGAGCCGAUGUCGGAUUAGCUAGUUGGCGGGUUAAAGGCCCACCAAGGCGACGAUCCGUAGCUGGUCUGAGAGGAUGAUCAGACACACUGGAACUGAGACACGGUCCAGACUCCUACGGGAGGCCGCAGUGGGGAAUAUUGGACAAAGGGCGAAAGCCUGAUACAGCCAUACCGCGUGGGUGAAGAAGGCCUUCGGGUUGUAAAGCCCUUUUGUUGGGAAAGAAAAGCAGCAGGUUAAUACCCCGCUGUUCUGACGGUACCGAAAGAAUAAGCACCGGCUAACUUCGUG
rnacentral:rRNA from 1 species